AUUGAACGCUGGCGGCAUGCCUUACACAUGCAAGUCGAACGGUAACGGGCCUUCGGGUGCCGACGAGUGGCGAACGGGUGAGUAAUAUAUCGGAACGUGCCCAGUAGUGGGGGAUAGCCCGGCGAAAGCCGGAUUAAUACCGCAUACGACCUGAGGGAGAAAGCGGGGGAUCGCAAGACCUCGCGCUAUUGGAGCGGCCGAUAUCAGAUUAGCUAGUUGGUGGGGUAAAGGCCUACCAAGGCAACGAUCUGUAGUUGGUCUGAGAGGACGACCAGCCACACUGGGACUGAGACACGGCCCAGACUCCUACGGGAGGCAGCAGUGGGGAAUUUUGGACAAUGGGCGCAAGCCUGAUCCAGCAAUGCCGCGUGCAGGAAGAAGGCCUUCGGGUUGUAAACUGCUUUUGUCAGGGAAGAAAUCUUCUGGGUUAAUACCUCGGGAGGAUGACGGUACCUGAAGAAUAAGCACCGGCUAACUACGUGCCAGCCGCCGCAGUAAAAC
rnacentral:rRNA from 1 species